rnacentral:tRNA from 1 species
GCCUCUGUGGCUCAGUGGUAGAGCACCACAUUGGUAAUGUGGGGGUCGUGAGUUCAAUUCUCACCAGAGGCU